CGACGGGGUCUUAGUGCGGAAGUUUUCGGAUGGAAGGAUUAAGACUUAGUGGCGGACGGGUGAGUAACGCGUGGGUAACCUGCCCUGUACAGGGGGAUAACAGUUGGAAACGGCUGCUAAAACCGCAUAACAUGGAGAUACCGCAUGAUAUUUCCAUCAAAUAUUUAUAGGUACAGGAUGGGCCCGCGUCUGAUUAGCCAGUUGGCAGGGUAAUGGCCUACCAAAGCGACGAUCAGUAGCCGGCUUGAGAGAGUGACCGGCCACAUUGGGACUGAGACACGGCCCAAACUCCUACGGGAGGCAGCAGUGGGGGAUAUUGCACAAUGGGGGAAACCCUGAUGCAGCGACGCCGCGUGAGUGAAGAAGUAUUUCGGUAUGUAAAGCUCUAUCGGCAGGGAAGAAAAAGCGCGCGAGCGCCCUUGACAGUACCUGACUAAGAAGCCCCGGCUAACUACGUGCCAGCAGCCGCGGUAAUACGUAGGGGGCAAGCGUUAUCCGGAUUUACUGGGCGUAAAGGGAGCGUAGGCGGCCACGCAAGUCAGAAGCGAAAACCCGGGGCUCAACCCUGGGAGUGCUUUUGAAACUGUGCGGCUAGAGUGUCGGAGGGGUAAGUGGAAUUCCUAGUGUAGCGGUGAAAUGCGUAGAUAUUAGGAGGAACGCCAGUGGCGAAGGCGGCUUACUGGACGAUGACUGACGCUGAGGCUCGAAAGCGUGGGGAGCAAACAGGAUUAGAUACCCUGGUAGUCCACGCCGUAAGCGAUGAAUACUAGGUGUCGGGGGUCAUA
rnacentral:rRNA from 1 species